rnacentral:rRNA from 1 species
UAAUACGGAGGGGGCGAGCGUUGUUCGGAAUUAUUGGGCGUAAAGCGUAUAUAGGUGGUUGGACAAGUCAGGCGUGUAAGCCCACGGCUCAACCGUGGAAUUGCGUUUGAAACUAUCCGACUUGAGUGCAGAAGAGGAAAGCGGAAUUUCCAGUGUAGCGGUGAAAUGCGUUGAUAUUGGGAAGAACACCUGUGGCGAAGGCGGCUUUCUGGUCUGUUACUGACACUGAGAUACGAAAGCCAGGGGAGCAAACGGGAUUAGAUACCCUGGUAGUCCUGGCCGUAAACGAUGGGCACUAGGUGUAGGAGGUGUUGAUCCCUUCUGUGCCGCAGCUAACGCAUUAAGUGCCCCGCCUGGGGAGUACGGUCGCAAGGCUG